ensembl:miRNA Gm23637 predicted gene, 23637
UUUUUUUUUUUAAUAUAUAUGUGUGUGUGUAUGUGUGUGUGUGUGUAUAUAUAUACACACACACAUACAUACAUACAUACAUA